AGCAGCCGCGGUAAUUCCAGCUCCAAUAGCGUAUAUUAAAGUUGUUGCAGUUAAAAAGCUCGUAGUUGAAUUUCGGGAUCAAUAUGUUGGUCGUGCCUCGGUACGUACUGGCACCGUUGGUUUCUACCUUCUGACGAACCAUGAUGUCAUUAAUUUGGUGUCUUGGGAAAUCAGGACUGUUACUUUGAAAAAUUAGAGUGUUUAAAGCAGGCUCACGCUUGAAUACAUUAGCAUGGAAUAAUGAAAUAGGACGUUUGAUUCUAUUUUGUUGGUUUCUAGGAUCGACGUAAUGAUUAAUAGGGAUAGUUGGGGGCAUUAGUAUUCAAUUGUCAGAGGUGAAAUUCUUGGAUUUAUUGAAGACUAACUACUGCGAAAGCAUUUGCCAAGGAUGUUUUCAUUAAUCAAGAACGAAAGUUAGGGGAUCGAAGACGAUCAGAUACCGUCGUAGUCUUAACCAUAAACUAUGCCGACUAGGGAUCGGAUGAUGUUAAUUUUUUAAUGUACUCAUUCGGCGCCUUAA
rnacentral:rRNA from 1 species